AGCGAACGCUGGCGGCAGGCCUAACACAUGCAAGUCGAACGAACUCUUCGGAGUUAGUGGCGGACGGGUGAGUAACACGUGGGAACGUGCCUUUAGGUUCGGAAUAACUCAGGGAAACUUGUGCUAAUACCGAAUGUGCCCUUCGGGGGAAAGAUUUAUCGCCUUUAGAGCGGCCCGCGUCUGAUUAGCUAGUUGGUGAGGUAAAGGCUCACCAAGGCGACGAUCAGUAGCUGGUCUGAGAGGAUGACCAGCCACAUUGGGACUGAGACACGGCCCAAACUCCUACGGGAGGCAGCAGUGGGGAAUCUUGCGCAAUGGGCGAAAGCCUGACGCAGCCAUGCCGCGUGAAUGAUGAAGGUCUUAGGAUUGUAAAAUUCUUUCACCGGGGACGAUAAUGACGGUACCCGGAGAAGAAGCCCCGGCUAACUUCGUGCCAGCCGCCGCCGUAA
rnacentral:rRNA from 1 species